UACAGAGGGUGCGAGCGUUGUCCGGAAUUACUGGGCGUAAAGGGCGCGUAGGCGGCCUGAUAAGUCGGGGGUGAAAGUCAGCGGCUCAACCGCUGGACUGCCUUCGAGACUGUCGGGCUUGAGCAUGGUAGAGGCUGGCGGAAUUCCCGGUGUAGCGGUGGAAUGCGUAGAGAUCGGGAAGAACAUCGGUGGCGAAGGCGGCCAGCUGGGCCAUUGCUGACGCCGAUGCGCGACAGCGUGGGGAGCAAACAGG
rnacentral:rRNA from 1 species